GUUGAUUGGAGAGUGGCAACAUGCCCACAUGCACACAACACAGCUGAUAGGACACACCAUCCGGUUCUGUGCAGAAGAAGUUGUAGCUCUUCCAGACCUGUAACCAAUGUUUCCCUUCAUAAGUUCAUAUUUAACUUGCAAGUCUCCAAAAGCAUGAUUUGACAUAUCUCACACAUGGGUUGAGAGCUGAGCAGACAGCCCUGACGUGAACAAGACCUUUAAACUCACAUUUUAGAUCCCUUGUCUGUGGACUUGUUGGCAUGCUGGCCGCAUAGCUUAGUUCUGGGAUUAUGUCAACGCCUUCAGCAGAUGCUAUUGCAUUACAUAAAGAGAUAUGCCAUGCUGGAGAGAUUCCACUCACUCCUAAUGUGUGCAUUCUGGCCAUGGGCAACAACUUCACAUCCUGUCCUAUUACUGACAUGGCAACCAUGGAUUCUGGGAGCAUUCCCAAAGCUGCGUGGCAUCACUUGUCAAAGGUCUGAUAUCCCAGCGGAGGCACAGCAGGUUGUGUGACGGCAGAGAGGAACAGGAUGGAGCGGCUAUUUUUACCUAAAGCCCAGGAGUGAGCUCAACGCAGAAGGUGUGUCUGCAUAAAUGUGUGUGCAUUGUGAGGAUUCAGUCAAUCAGCAAACCAACAAGGGAGAACUGACGCAAGUGCAUGAGAAAAGGUGGAGAAGUGAUUUCUCCGACACCGAUCUGAGAUGAGGUUUGCAGCCAUAACCAGGUGCCAGUGUAUGAGCUAAUUCAAAGUUAUUGACAUAUGCUUGGCCUGUAUCGUGUUUUGUAUCUCAAUGCUCAUACUCCAGAUUUUACAGCUGUUUAUUUUUUUAUAUCCUAUCCCUACUGUGGUUUGCAGUUUAAAAUGUUGGGUUUAUUUGUAUAUUGAAUCAACUUGAAAUGCAACU